rnacentral:rRNA from 1 species
GCUUGGGAACUUGCCUUUGCGAGGGGGAUAACAGUUGGAAACGACUGCUAAUACCGCAUAAUGUCUACGGACCAAACGGGGCUUAGGCUCCGGCGCAAAGAGAGGCCCAAGUGAGAUUAGCUAGUUGGUAAGGUAAAGGCUUACCAAGGCAACGAUCUCUAGCUGUUCUGAGAGGAAGAUCAGCCACAUUGGGACUGAGACACGGCCCAAACUCCUACGGGAGGCAGCAGUGGGGAAUCUUGCACAAUGGGGGAAACCCUGAUGCAGCGAUGCCGCGUGAGUGAAGAAGGCCCUUGGGUUGUAAAGCUCUUUCGUCGGGGAAGAAAAUGACUGUACCCGAAUAAGAAGGUCCGGCUAACUUCGUGCCAGCAGCCGCGGUAAUACGAAGGGACCUAGCGUAGUUCGGAAUUACUGGGCUUAAAGAGUUCGUAGGUGGUUAAAAUAGUUGGUGGUGAAAUCCCAGAGCUUAACUCUGGAACUGCCAUCAAAACUUUUUAGCUAGAGUAUGAUAGAGGAAAGUAGAAUUUCUAGUGUAGAGGUGAAAUUCGUAGAUAUUAGAAAGAAUACCAAUUGCGAAGGCAGCUUUCUGGACCAAUACUGACGCUGAGGUAC